rnacentral:rRNA from 1 species
UCGAGCGGGCGUAGCAAUACGUCAGCGGCAGACGGGUGAGUAACGCGUGGGAACGUACCUUUUGGUUCGGAACAACACAGGGAAACUUGUGCUAAUACCGGAUAAGCCCUUACGGGGAAAGAUUUAUCGCCGAAAGAUCGGCCCGCGUCUGAUUAGCUAGUUGGUGAGGUAAUGGCUCACCAAGGCGACGAUCAGUAGCUGGUCUGAGAGGAUGAUCAGCCACAUUGGGACUGAGACACGGCCCAAACUCCUACGGGAGGCAGCAGUGGGGAAUAUUGGACAAUGGGGGCAACCCUGAUCCAGCCAUGCCGCGUGAGUGAUGAAGGCCCUAGGGUUGUAAAGCUCUUUUGUGCGGGAAGAUAAUGACGGUACCGCAAGAAUAAGCCCCGGCUAACUUCGUGCCAGCAGCCGCGGUAAUACGAAGGGGGCUAGCGUUGCUCGGAAUCACUGGGCGUAAAGGGUGCGUAGGCGGGUCUUUAAGUCAGGGGUGAAAUCCUGGAGCUCAACUCCAGAACUGCCUUUGAUACUGAGGAUCUUGAGUUCGGGAGAGGUGAGUGGAACUGCGAGUGUAGAGGUGAAAUUCGUAGAUAUUCGCAAGAACACCAGUGGCGAAGGCGGCUCA